AAGUUAAGGGACCCGAGAAAAAGCUUCUAACUUUAUUCUUAAGCGGUGUAAUCCGUUUUUAACUUU
rnacentral:tRNA from 1 species